rnacentral:rRNA from 1 species
AAGACCUUGCGCUUUUGGAGCGGCCGAUGUCUGAUUAGCUUGUUGGUAAGGUAAAAGCUUACCAAGGCUUCGAUCAGUAGCUGGUCUGAGAGGACGGCCAGCCACACUGGGACUGAGACACGGCCCAGACUCCUACGGGAGGCAGCAGUGGGGAAUCUUGGACAAUGGGGGCAACCCUGAUCCAGCCAUGCCGCGUGAGUGAAGAAGGCCUUCGGGUUGUAAAGCUCUUUCAGCCGGAACGAAACGGUUACGGUUAAUACCCGUGACUACUGACGGUACCGGAAGAAGAAGCACCGGCUAACUACGUGCCAGCAGCCGCGGUAAUACGUAGGGUGCGAGCGUUAAUCGGAAUUACUGGGCGUAAAGCGUGCGCAGGUGGUUUUGUAAGUCAGAUGUGAAAGCCCCGGGCUCAACCUGGGAACU